rnacentral:rRNA from 1 species
CCUACGGGGGCUGCCGUGAGGAAUAUUGGUCAAUGGGCGGGAGCCUGAACCAGCCAAGCCGCGUGAAGGAAGAAGGCGCCAAGCGUCGUAAACUUCUUUUGUCGGGGAACAAAGGGCGCCACGUGUGGCGUUGUGCGUGUACCCGCAGCAUAAGCAUCGGCUAACUCCUUGCCAGCAGCCGCGGUAAUACGGGGGAUGCGAGCGUUAUCGGGAUUUAUGGGGUUUAAAGGGUGCGGAGGCGGUCCGGAAGGUCAGCGGUAAAAGCCUGGGGCUCAACCCCGGCGAGCCGUUGAAACUGUCGAACUAGAGACGGCGAGAGGUACGCGGAAUGCGCGGUGUAGCGGUGAAAUGCGUAGAUAUCGCGCAGAACACCGAUUGCGAAGGCAGCGUACUGGCGCCGGACUGACGCUGAGGCACGAAAGCGUGGGUAUCGAACAGGAUUAGAUACCCGGGUAGUC